rnacentral:lncRNA from 1 species
UUGCUAAUUAGGAUUAAUAUUUCCUAAUUAAAAUUGCUAAUUUACAUUACAAAAAAAUGGGCCUUUAGCAACGAUUUUUCGGGCAACAACUUUAUAAGUCGUUGUUAAAAGUAUAUGUUUAGCAACCAAAUUUGUCUUUCGUUGCAGAUUGUGUCAGGCUUUCACUUUUUGCAACGAAAUUCAUAAGUCGUUGCAAAAUUUUGUUGCUAAUUCAUUGGCGGAAAAAAAUUUCGUUAGAAAUUCGUUGCAAAAUUUUUGGCCACUUGAUUUCCCGUCAUCGUGGGCAACAAAAGUUUUUUUGUUGCUAAAAAUGGGGCUUUAGUAACGAUUUUUCAGACAACGACUUUAUAAGUCGUUGCUAAAAGUGUAUGUUUAUCAACAAAACUUGUCCUUCGUUGCAGAUUGUGUCAGGCUUUCACUUUUUGCAACGAAAU